UUAGUUUAUUUAACUAUUUUUCAGAUUUAACAUGGUUAAAAAAGAGUUUGUUAAGGGCUACUGACGGGCACUGGCCAGAGGUCGAAGACCCCCGACGGUCCGGUCAAGGACGGGCCCGCCAAAGCAACAUGGUAGUUAUACAAAGGGUUGGAGAUCGGGCCUGGAAGACCCUAACUCAUUAAUGAUCCUUCCGCAGGUUCACCUACGGAAA
rnacentral:misc_RNA from 1 species